GAUGAACGCUAGCUACAGGCUUAACACAUGCAAGUCGAGGGGAAACGGCAUUAAGUGCUUGCACUUUUUGGACGUCGACCGGCGCACGGGUGAGUAACGCGUAUCCAACCUUCCCAUGACUAAGGGAUAACCUGCCGAAAGGCAGACUAAUACCUUAUGGUCUUCACUGACGGCAUCAGAUGUGAAGUAAAGAUUUAUCGGUUAUGGAUGGGGAUGCGUCUGAUUAGCUUGUUGGCGGGGUAACGGCCCACCAAGGCAACGAUCAGUAGGGGUUCUGAGAGGAAGGUCCCCCACAUUGGAACUGAGACACGGUCCAAACGCCUACGGGAGGCAGCAGUGAGGAAUAGUGGUCAAUGGGCGAGAGCCUGAACCAGCCAAGUAGCGUGCAGGAUGACGGCCCUAUGGGUUGUAAACUGCUUUUGUAUGGGGAUAAAGUCAAUCACGUGUGAUUGUUUGCAGGUACCAUACGAAUAAGGACCGGCUAAUUCCGUGC
rnacentral:rRNA from 1 species